rnacentral:rRNA from 1 species
UACGUAGGUGGCAAGCGUUACUCGGAAUCACUAGGCGUAAAGCGCAGGUAGGAGGUUUGGUAAGUCUAUUGUGAAAGCUCCCGGCUUAACUGGGAGAGGUCAAUGGAAACUACCAGGCUGGAGUGCGGUAGAGGUAGCUGGAAUUCCCGGUGUAGCGGUGAAAUGCGCAGAUAUCGGGAAGAACACCUGUGGCGAAGGCGGCUCUCUGGGACGGUACUGACGCUGAGACGCGAAAGCGUGGGGAGCAAACAGG